rnacentral:rRNA from 1 species
GCUACGCCCGAGCGGACAGCGCGGGUGAUGCGGCGGGGGCAAGGGUUAAGAGGAAGAUCUGGGCGGAAGGGGCACAGCGGCAGGUGGAGAAGUCAGAUGUGAAAGCCCCGGGCUCAACCGGGGAACGGCAUUUGAAACGGUACGGCUAGAGUGUUGUAGAGGGAGGUAGAAUGCCAGGUGUAGCGGUGAAAUGCGUAGAGAUCUGGAGGAAUACCGGUGGCGAAGGCGGCCCCCUGGACAAAGACUGACGCUCAGGUGCGAAAGCGUGGGGAGCAAACAGGAUUAGAUACCCGAGUAGUC